GAUGAACGCUGGCGGCGUGCCUAAUACAUGCAAGUCGAGCGAACGGACGAGAAGCUUGCUUCUCUGAUGUUAGCGGCGGACGGGUGAGUAACACGUGGAUAACCUACCUAUAAGACUGGGAUAACUUCGGGAAACCGUAGCUAAUACCGGAUAAUAUUUUGAACCGCAUGGUUCAAAAGUGAAGGACGGUCUUGCUGUCACUUAUAGAUGGAUCCGCGCUGCAUUAGCUAGUUGGUAAGGUAACGGCUUACCAAGGCAACGAUGCAUAGCCGACCUGAGAGGGUGAUCGGCCACACUGGAACUGAGACACGGUCCAGACUCCUACGGGAGGCAGCAGUAGGGAAUGUUCGGCAAUGGGCGAAGGCCUGACGGAGCAACGCCGCGUGAGUGAUGAAGGUCUUCGGAUCGUAAAACUCUGUUAUUAGGGAAGAACAUAUGUGUAAGUAACUGUGCACAUCUUGACGGUACCUAAUCAGAAAGCCACGGCUAACUACGUG
rnacentral:rRNA from 1 species